rnacentral:rRNA from 1 species
AGAGUUUGAUCAUGGCUCAGGAUGAACGCUAGCGGCAGGCUUACACAUGCAAGUCGAGGGGUAAUAGGUUUUCGGACCUAGAGACCGGCGCACGGGUGCGUAACGCGUAUGCAAUCUACCUUUUACAGAGGGAUAGCCCAGAGAAAUUGGAUUAAUACCUCAUAGUAUUACGACUCGGCAUCGAGAUGUAAUUAAAGUCACAACGGUAAAAGAUGAGCAUGCGUCCCAUUAGCUUGUUGGUAAGGUAACGGCUUACCAAGGCAACGAUGGGUAGGGGUCCUGAGAGGGAGAUCCCCCACACUGGUACUGAGACACGGACCAGACUCCUACGGGAGGCAGCAGUGAGGAAUAUUGGUCAAUGGGCGCAAGCCUGAACCAGCCAUGCCGCGUGCAGGAUGACGGUCCUAUGGAUUGUAAACUGCUUUUGUACAGGAAGAAACAGUUCUACGUGUAGAACCUUGACGGUACUGUAAGAAUAAGGAUCGGCUAACUCCGUGCCAGCAGCCGCGGUAAUACGGAGGAUCCAAGCGUUAUCCGGAAUCAUUGGGUUUAAAGGGUCCGUAGGCGGUUUUGUAAGUCAGUGGUGAAAGCCCGUCGCUCAACGGCGGAACGGCCAUUGAUACUGCAAGACUUGAAUUAUUAGGAAGCAACUAGAAUAUGUAGUGUAGCGGUGAAAUGCUUAGAUAUUACAUGGAAUACCAAUUGCGAAGGCAGGUUGCUACUAAUGGAUUGACGCUGAUGGACGAAAGCGUGGGGAGCGAACAGGAUUAGAUACCCUAGUAGUCC